CAACCAUCAAGCCCUAGGCUUGUGUUGGGGACCUGCGGCUGCCGCAGGCCCUGAAAAUCAGUGGCGGGCUCGCUAGUCACUCCGAGCGUAGUAAUACAUCUCGCUUUGGACGUGCUGCGUGUUCCGGCCGUUAAACACCUUAUUUACCCAA
rnacentral:misc_RNA from 1 species